AGCUUUGCGCAGUGGCAGUAUCGUAGCCAAUGAGGUUUAUCCGAGGCACAAUUAUUGCUAAUUGAAAACUUCCCAAUACCCUGCCAUAACAACUUGAAAUGCAGUCAGCUUUGGCAACUUUUGGCAGACUCUAAGGGGA
rnacentral:snRNA from 1 species